rnacentral:tRNA from 1 species
GCGGAUGUGGCGGAAUUGGUAGACGCAUCAGACUUAGGAUCUGACGCUUGCGCGUGGGGGUUCGAGUCCCUUCAUCCGCA